rnacentral:rRNA from 1 species
GAGUUUGAUCAUGGCUCAGGAUGAACGCUGGCGGCACGUCUGACACAUGCAAGUCGAGCGACAAGGGGGCUUCGGCCCCUGGAGGAGCGGCGAACGGCUGAGUAACACGUAGGAACCUACCCCUUAGCUCGGGAUAACAGACCGAAAGGCCUGCUAAUACCGGAUAAUACAGCGAUGUUGAAAGGUUUACCACUGAGGGAGGGGCCUGCGGCGUAUUAGCUUGUUGGUGAGGUAACGGCUCACCAAGGCGAUGAUGCGUAGCUGGUCUGAGAGGAUGAUCAGCCAGACUGGGACUGAGACACGGCCCAGACUCCUACGGGAGGCAGCAGUUCAGAAUCUUGCACAAUGGGGGAAACCCUGAUGCAGCGAUGCCGCGUGGGUGAAGAAGGCCCUCGGGUCGUAAAGCCCUGUCAGAGGGAAAGAUAAUGACGGUACCUCUAAGGAAGCCACGGCUAAUUACGUGCCAGCAGCCGCAGUAAC